rnacentral:rRNA from 1 species
GAUGAACGCUGGCGGCGUGCCUAAUACAUGCAAGUCGAGCGAACGGACGAGAAGCUUGCUUCUCUGAUGUUAGCAGCGGACGGGUGAGUAACACGUGGAUAACCUACCUAUAAGACUGGGAUAACUUCGGGAAACCGGAGCUAAUACCGGAUAAUAUUUUGAACCGCAUGGUUCAAAAGUGAAAGACGGUCUUGCUGUCACUUAUAGAUGGAUCCGCGCUGCAUUAGCUAGUUGGUAAGGUAACGGCUUACCAAGGCAACGAUGCAUAGCCGACCUGAGAGGGUGAUCGGCCACACUGGAACUGAGACACGGUCCAGACUCCUACGGGAGGCAGCAGUAGGGAAUCUUCCGCAAUGGGCGAAAGCCUGACGGAGCAACGCCGCGUGAGUGGUGAAGGUCUUCGGAUCGUAAAACUCUGUUAUUAGGGAAGAACAUAUGUGUAAGUAACUGUGCACAUCUUGACGGUACCUAAUCAGAAAGCCACGGCUAACUACGUG